rnacentral:rRNA from 1 species
AAUGCUGACAUAAGUAACGAUAAAGCGGGUGAAAAGCCCGCUCGCCGGAAGACCAAGGGUUCCUGUCCAACGUUAAUCGGGGCAGGGUGAGUCGACCCCUAAGGCGAGGCCGAAAGGCGUAGUCGAUGGGAAACGGGUUAAUAUUCCCGUACUUGGUGUUACUGCGAAGGGGGGACGGAGAAGGCUAUGUUGGCCGGGCGACGGUUG